rnacentral:rRNA from 1 species
AUACGGAGGAUCCGAGCGUUAUCCGGAUUUAUUGGGUUUAAAGGGUGCGCAGGCGGCCAUUUAAGUCAGCGGUUAAAUCGUGGGGCUCAACCCCAUUCUGCCGUUGAUACUGGGUGGCUUGAUUGCGGUCGAGGUUGGCGGAAUUCGUUGUGUAGCGGUGAAAUGCAUAGAUAUGACGAAGAACACCGAUUGCGUAGGCAGCUGACCAGACCGCAAAUGACGCUCAUGCACGAAAGUGCGGGGAUCGAACAGGAUUAGAUACCCUGGUAGUCCGCACAGUAAACGAUGGGCGCUCGUCGUCGGCGACAGACAGUCGGCGGCCAAGCGAAAGCGAUAAGCGCCCCACCUGGGGAGUACGGUCGCAAGGCUGAAACUCAAAUGAAUUGACGGGG